CCCUUAACUAUUAAAAGUUUUGUUUUGAUCCCUUAACUUAUUUUUUGGUUUCGUUUUGGUCUCUUAACUCUUCCUCCGUCAACCACUUUGGUCCUUUAUGUUAGGAUGAAUGUAUUGGAGUUAAGGACCAAAAUGAAAUCAAAAAAUAAGUUAAGUGACCUAAACGAAACCAAAAAAUAAGUUAAGGGACCAAAACGAAAACUUUUAAUAGUUAAGGUACUAAAACGAAACCAAAAAAUAAGUUAAAGGACUAAAACAAAACUUUUAAUAAUUAAGGGA
rnacentral:pre_miRNA from 1 species